UUUUUAAUUAAAGAAGGCGAGGAGCCCUAAGCAGCUGCCCUGAUUUCUUGAAAUUGGACAUUUUUCUAUUGCCUACUUCCCUAUUCUAAUUGAUCUUCUUGCCCCUCAAUUGCCUACUGACGAGAAAGUGAAAUCGUCUGCGAUUGAGUUUGAGAAAUGCUAAUUUGCAAGCCAAGGCUAACAUGAGCAAAGCUGCUCAGGUAGAGAACAAAAGACUGGGAUGACAUCUGCUGAAGAAAGCAUAACGGAGAGCCUUUGCCACACUCAUCAGCUAAUGUUUCAGGAGGUUGAAAGAAGUGCUAGCACACUCAUGACUUUUGGUACGUGUUUUUAUAUUCUUCCGCCAGUUAAAACCUAGUCAUUUCACUUUCAUUUAGUUUAACAGAGCAAGAAAGAUGGUGAAAUCGAAAGAACUUAUCAGCUGUCAGAUAUGAAGUGAAUCAAAUUUAAGAUGAAGACAGCCAGCUAGAUAACAAUCAGAGCAAGUUCUACCUUCUAGUGACCUUUUUUGUUCAGGAUACCAAAAUGGAAAAAAUAAUUAGACAGUUUAAACUUUAGUGUGUCAGAUAGAUUUCUUUUAUUUAAUUUUGUUGUUAAGAACAUGAGUUUUAACUAUUGGACCUUAGGUUGGUGGUUCAAGUCCGGCCGGUUGGACCAAUUGAUAUGGUUAGGAACAAGAGAAUUUGUAAUCAAAUUGAAACUGAGCUUUGUAUUGAAAUGGAAUAGCAGAAUACUCUUUUUACCAUGUGGGUUGUGGAUUACAACUACUUCUCUCACUUACCUCUUUGAUCUGUUACAAUUUCUAGAAUGAAAAGAAAAUCACAGGAAACAAGCACUCAAAAUGGCUACCAAGAGCCCCUAGGGAUAAUUCCCCAUGCAGAUAGAAUCUGCCCUUCUAUUAAAGAUAAAACCAGCUAACAAAAACAUGCCCUGCUUCCCAUUCUCUUCCUAUAUUUAUAUUUCCUCUUUCUCCUUUCCAGCUGUCCUUCACAGGCUCCUUAGCAUCCCAAUUCUUUCCAGCUGUCCUUUCUGUUAUAAUUUCUUCUAGAUUACUUCAUAUCCAUAAAAUAUUAAGUCCUUGUUAUCUAUUCAAAUCCACCUGCUCAUAAAAGCUGAACAGUCCAAUUGAUUAAACAAUUUAGUCAAAUUGUUUGUUGAUCAUAGAUGGAAUCUAUUUGUGAGAAAUUCUUAGCUUGCCGGAUCUUUCAGUGAUUAUUGAUUAGUUUCCAACAUAAUUUUGUUAUACUUUACGUGACUUCAAGAGAAUGUUCCAAAAUAUUCCCCAUAAAUAUGUUUUUGCAAAAAAAUUUUGUGGAUGCAUGUUAAAUGAUAUUAACCAUACGGAUCUGAUUUGAUUUGAACUAGCAUGUUAAACCUAUUAAACUUUUAAAUUUUUUUUGUCAGUUGUCUUCUGACUGCAUCCUCUAUCUUUAUGGUCUGAUAUGCUUACUUUUCUUACUUCCACAGAUUCAAAAAAAAUUAAUAAGUUUCAAAAAAAUUUUCAGCUUAAUGUUUCUUUUUUUAAAUGUUGACAUUUGUUGGUGCUUCACAAACUAUAAUCACAGUUAAUUCCUUGCUUCCACAUUGAUUUCUAUGCUUGAGAUUCAAAUGACUGUUACGUUGUGUUUGCUGUCUAAGAAUGGUUCAUACUCCAGAGAAACUCUUAUUUUAUGGUGGUUUUGCUGGGGAAUCAACGGGGGUAUUAAGGAAGGCUGAAAGUGAAUACAAAGGCCACCAUUCAUUGUUCAUGCGGACCCAAAAUCUACUCUCAAAAUGCAAUAUCAGGAUGUUCUUGACAAGUAUAGAAGAAAAAAGGGGCUUUUUCUAUCCUUUUGAUUUCUAUAUAUCUUUUUUUACAACUGAUAUUGAGUUAUAUUUUGACAGAAUGAUACCUACUGUAGGAUUUUUUGUGGUCUCUUGUGCUGUUCUUUAUGUGAUUUCAAAGCGCAUUGGGCUGCUCAAGUUGCAGACCAAAAGUUGGUGAAGAUGGGAUAGAUUUUGCUCAGGUUUUGGACAACGUUGUUCCCAAGGCAUGAAGCAAGCUGUGGAGAAAUCUACACCUGCGACUUCAAAUUUAUGCGACCAAAGAGACGCCUGAGAAAGUAUCGGAGAACAUUUAUGUCACAGUUGUACAUGCAGCUGAACUUACGAAUAACCAAAACUGAAUAGAUUCGAGUGUUUUCACCGUGCAACAAAUUAUCAUAAUGAAGAAGAAAGGCUAGGAAAGGAAACACACCAAACUAGGGAUACUGAAUUGUGUUUUGAUUUUACAUGUUAGGUGUUUAUUAUUUAAAUUUAUUUAUAUAAUUAAUGAAUUAAUUAUAAAA